GACAUCAUAGCCAAGCGGUUACGGCGACAGAUUCGAAUCGACUUGAUCCCAGUAGAUCCCAGUCCAGAAUUAUCUGUUUCCCUUUGGGAGCGCAGGUUCGAAUCCUGCUGGUGUCG